GACGAACGCUGGCGGCGUGCUUAACACAUGCAAGUCGAACGGUAAGGCCCUUCGGGGUACACGAGUGGCGAACGGGUGAGUAACACGUGGGUGAUCUGCCCUGCACUUCGGGAUAAGCCUGGGAAACUGGGUCUAAUACCGGAUAGGACCACUGCCUGCAUGGGUGGUGGUGGAAAGCUGUUGCGGUGUGGGAUGGGCCCGCGGCCUAUCAGCUUGUUGGUGGGGUGAUGGCCUACCAAGGCGACGACGGGUAGCCGGCCUGAGAGGGUGACCGGCCACACGGGGACUGAGAUACGGCCCAGACUCCUACGGGAGGCAGCAGGGGGGAAUAUUGCACAAUGGGCGCAAGCCGGAUGCAGCGACGCCGCGUGAGGGAUGACGGCCUUCGGGUUGUAAACCUCUUUCAGCACCGACGAAGCGCAAGUGACGGUAGGUGCAGAAGAAGGACCGGCCAACUACGUGCCAGCAGCCGCCGUAA
rnacentral:rRNA from 1 species